GGGGAUUUAGCUCAGUGGCAUAAGCGCCUGCCUUGCAAGCAGGCAGUUGUAAAUUCGAUCCCCA
rnacentral:tRNA from 1 species